rnacentral:rRNA from 1 species
GAUGAACGCUAGCGGCAGGCCUAACACAUGCAAGUCGAACGGUAACAUAAGAGAGCUUGCUCUUUUGAUGACGAGUGGCGCACGGGUGCGUAACGCGUAUACAAUCUACCUUUUACAGGGGGAUAGCCUUUAGAAAUGAAGAUUAAUACCCCAUAGUAUAUUGAUAUGGCAUCAUAUAAAUAUUAAAGAUUCGUCGGUAAAAGAUGAGUAUGCGUUCUAUUAGCUAGAUGGUUUGGUAACGGCAGACCAUGGCAACGAUAGAUAGGGGCCCUGAGAGGGGGAUCCCCCACACUGGUACUGAGACACGGACCAGACUCCUACGGGAGGCAGCAGUGAGGAAUAUUGGACAAUGGAGGCAACUCUGAUCCAGCCAUGCCGCGUGCAGGAAGACUGCCCUAUGGGUUGUAAACUGCUUUUAUACAGGAAGAAACCGCUCUACGUGUAGAGCUCUGACGGUACUGUAAGAAUAAGGAUCGGCUAACUCCG